CUUAUCACUUUUGACCUCGGAUCAGGUAGGGAUACCCGCUGAACUUAAGCAUAUCAAUAAGCGGAGGA
rnacentral:rRNA from 1 species